GAUGAACGCUGGCGGCGUGCUUAACACAUGCAAGUCGAGCGAGAAGUUUUGAAAAGAUUCUUCGGAUGAAAUUUAAAAUGGAAAGCGGCGGACGGGUGAGUAACGCGUAGGCAACCUGCCCCAUACAAAGGGAUAGCAUUUGGAAACGAAUAUUAAUACCUUAUGAAACUUAACUAGUGCAUGCUAGGUAGGUCAAGAUUUAUCGGUAUGGGAUGGGCCUGCGUCUGAUUAGCUAGUUGGUGAGGUAACGGCUCACCAAGGCGACGAUCAGUAGCCGACCUGAGAGGGUGAACGGCCACAUUGGAACUGAGACACGGUCCAAACUCCUACGGGAGGCAGCAGUGGGGAAUAUUGCACAAUGGGGGAAACCCUGAUGCAGCAACGCCGCGUGAACGAUGAAGGCCUUUGGGUCGUAAAGUUCUGUUCUAGGUGAUGAAAACUGACAGUAACCUAGGAGAAAGCCCCGGCUAACUCCGUG
rnacentral:rRNA from 1 species